rnacentral:rRNA from 1 species
UACGGAGGGAGCUAGCGUUAUUCGGAAUUACUGGGCGUAAAGCGCACGUAGGCGGCUUUGUAAGUAAGAGGUGAAAGCCCAGAGCUCAACUCUGGAAUUGCCUUUAGUACUGCAUCGCUUGAAUCAUGGAGAGGUCAGUGGAAUUCCGAGUGUAGAGGUGAAAUUCGUAGAUAUUCGGAAGAACACCAGUGGCGAAGGCGGCUGACUGGACAUGUAUUGACGCCGAGGUGCGAAAGCGUGGGGAGCAAACAGG